GCAAACUUGGUCAUUUAGAGGAAGUAAAAGUCGUAACAAGGUUUCCGUAGGUGAACCUGCGGAAGGAUCAUUAAUGAGGACAAUUUAACCAUCAAAAUUCCGUCCGGAAUUUUGUUCGAGUUAAAAUUACCUUCCAAACCCUAUGAUUAUAUAAAUAUAUGUUGCUUUGGUUAAUGAGAGUAAUGAUCUGUUAACCAAAAGCCUUAACCAAAAACUCUUAAUAAGAAAACCUAUCUGAGUACCUUAAAAUUAUCAAAUUUUAAUUAAAACUUUCAACAACGGAUCUCUUGGUUUUGGCAUCGAUGAAGAACGCAGC
rnacentral:misc_RNA from 1 species